rnacentral:rRNA from 1 species
UACAGAGACUGUAAGCGUUGUUCGGAUUUACUGGGCGUAAAGGGCGCGUAGGCGGCCACUGCAAGUCAGUUGUGAAAUCUCCGGGCUUAACCCGGAAAGGUCAACUGAUACUGCAGGGCUAGAGUGCAGAAGGGGCAACUGGAAUUCUCGGUGUAGCGGUGAAAUGCGUAGAUAUCGAGAGGAACACCUGCGGCGAAGGCGGGUUGCUGGGCUGACACUGACGCUGAGGCGCGAAAGCCAGGGGAGCGAACGGG